GGGCCUGUAGUUUAAUGGUAUGACACUUGCCUUGCACGCAUGAGAUCCGUGUUCGAUUCACGGCAGGUCCA
rnacentral:tRNA from 1 species